CGAUCAAGUAGACAGAAACAA
rnacentral:piRNA from 1 species